GACGAACGCUGGCGGCGUGCUUAACACAUGCAAGUCGAACGAUGAUGCCAGCUUGCUGGUGGAUUAGUGGCGAACGGGUGAGUAACACGUGAGCAACCUGCCCCUGACUUCGGGAUAACCGCGGGAAACCGUGGCUAAUACCGGAUAUGACGCGCUAUCGCAUGGUGGUGUGUGGAAAGAUUUAUCGGUUGGGGAUGGGCUCGCGGCCUAUCAGCUUGUUGGUGGGGUGAUGGCCUACCAAGGCGACGACGGGUAGCCGGCCUGAGAGGGUGACCGGCCACACUGGGACUGAGACACGGCCCAGACUCCUACGGGAGGCAGCAGUGGGGAAGAUUGCACAAUGGGCGCAAGCCUGAUGCAGCGACGCCGCGUGAGGGAUGACGGCCUUCGGGUUGUAAACCUCUUUCAGUAGGGAAGAAGGCCUUCGGGUUGACGGUACCUGCAGAAGAAGCGCCGGCUAACUACGUG
rnacentral:rRNA from 1 species